GAUUAAGUUAUUAAGGGCGCACGGUGGAUGCCUUGGCACUAGAAGCCGAUGAAGGACGUUACUAACGACGAUAUGCUUUGGGGAGCUGUAAGUAAGCUUUGAUCCAGAGAUUUCCGAAUGGGGAAACCCAGCAUGAGUUAUGUCAUGUUAUCGAUAUGUGAAUACAUAGCAUAUCAGAAGGCACACCCGGAGAACUGAAACAUCUUAGUACCCGGAGGAAGAGAAAGAAAAUUCGAUUCCCUUAGUAGCGGCGAGCGAAAUGGGAAGAGCCCAAACCAACAAGCUUGCUUGUUGGGGUUGUAGGACACUCUAUACGGAGUUACAAAGGACGACAUUAGACGAAUCAUCUGGAAAGAUGAAUCAAAGAAGGUAAUAAUCCUGUAGUCGAAAAUGUUGUCUCUCUUGAGUGGAUCCUGAGUACGACGGAGCACGUGAAAUUCCGUCGGAAUCUGGGAGGACCAUCUCCUAAGGCUAAAUACUCUCUAGUGACCGAUAGUGAACCAGUACCGUGAGGGAAAGGUGAAAAGCACCCCGGAAGGGGAGUGAAAUAGAACCUGAAACCGUGUGCUUACAAGUAGUCAGAGCCCGUUAAUGGGUGAUGGCGUGCCUUUUGUAGAAUGAACCGGCGAGUUACGAUUUGAUGCAAGGUUAAGCAGUAAAUGUGGAGCCGUAGCGAAAGCGAGUCUGAAUAGGGCGUUUAGUAUUUGGUCGUAGACCCGAAACCAGGUGAUCUACCCUUGGUCAGGUUGAAGUUCAGGUAACACUGAAUGGAGGACCGAACCGACUUACGUUGAAAAGUGAGCGGAUGAACUGAGGGUAGCGGAGAAAUUCCAAUCGAACCUGGAGAUAGCUGGUUCUCUCCGAAAUAGCUUUAGGGCUAGCCUCAAGUGAUGAUUAUUGGAGGUAGAGCACUGUUUGGACGAGGGGCCCCUCUCGGGUUACCGAAUUCAGACAAACUCCGAAUGCCAAUUAAUUUAACUUGGGAGUCAGAACAUGGGUGAUAAGGUCCGUGUUCGAAAGGGAAACAGCCCAGACCACCAGCUAAGGUCCCAAAAUAUAUGUUAAGUGGAAAAGGAUGUGGCGUUGCCCAGACAACUAGGAUGUUGGCUUAGAAGCAGCCAUCAUUUAAAGAGUGCGUAAUAGCUCACUAGUCGAGUGACACUGCGCCGAAAAUGUACCGGGGCUAAACAUAUUACCGAAGCUGUGGAUUGUCCUUUGGACAAUGGUAGGAGAGCGUUCUAAGGGCGUUGAAGCAUGAUCGUAAGGACAUGUGGAGCGCUUAGAAGUGAGAAUGCCGGUGUGAGUAGCGAAAGACGGGUGAGAAUCCCGUCCACCGAUUGACUAAGGUUUCCAGAGGAAGGCUCGUCCGCUCUGGGUUAGUCGGGUCCUAAGCUGAGGCCGACAGGCGUAGGCGAUGGAUAACAGGUUGAUAUUCCUGUACCACCUAUAAUCGUUUUAAUCGAUGGGGGGACGCAGUAGGAUAGGCGAAGCGUGCGAUUGGAUUGCACGUCUAAGCAGUAAGGCUGAGUAUUAGGCAAAUCCGGUACUCGUUAAGGCUGAGCUGUGAUGGGGAGAAGACAUUGUGUCUUCGAGUCGUUGAUUUCACACUGCCGAGAAAAGCCUCUAGAUAGAAAAUAGGUGCCCGUACCGCAAACCGACACAGGUAGUCAAGAUGAGAAUUCUAAGGUGAGCGAGCGAACUCUCGUUAAGGAACUCGGCAAAAUGACCCCGUAACUUCGGGAGAAGGGGUGCUCUUUAGGGUUAACGCCCAGAAGAGCCGCAGUGAAUAGGCCCAAGCGACUGUUUAUCAAAAACACAGGUCUCUGCUAAACCGUAAGGUGAUGUAUAGGGGCUGACGCCUGCCCGGUGCUGGAAGGUUAAGAGGAGUGGUUAGCUUCUGCGAAGCUACGAAUCGAAGCCCCAGUAAACGGCGGCCGUAACUAUAACGGUCCUAAGGUAGCGAAAUUCCUUGUCGGGUAAGUUCCGACCCGCACGAAAGGCGUAACGAUUUGGGCACUGUCUCAACGAGAGACUCGGUGAAAUCAUAGUACCUGUGAAGAUGCAGGUUACCCGCGACAGGACGGAAAGACCCCGUGGAGCUUUACUGUAGCCUGAUAUUGAAAUUCGGCACAGCUUGUACAGGAUAGGUAGGAGCCUUUGAAACGUGAGCGCUAGCUUACGUGGAGGCGCUGGUGGGAUACUACCCUAGCUGUGUUGGCUUUCUAACCCGCACCACUUAUCGUGGUGGGAGACAGUGUCAGGCGGGCAGUUUGACUGGGGCGGUCGCCUCCUAAAAGGUAACGGAGGCGCUCAAAGGUUCCCUCAGAAUGGUUGGAAAUCAUUCAUAGAGUGUAAAGGCAUAAGGGAGCUUGACUGCGAGACCUACAAGUCGAGCAGGGUCGAAAGACGGACUUAGUGAUCCGGUGGUUCCGCAUGGAAGGGCCAUCGCUCAACGGAUAAAAGCUACCCCGGGGAUAACAGGCUUAUCUCCCCCAAGAGUUCACAUCGACGGGGAGGUUUGGCACCUCGAUGUCGGCUCAUCGCAUCCUGGGGCUGUAGUCGGUCCCAAGGGUUGGGCUGUUCGCCCAUUAAAGCGGUACGCGAGCUGGGUUCAGAACGUCGUGAGACAGUUCGGUCCCUAUCCGUCGUGGGCGUAGGAAAUUUGAGAGGAGCUGUCCUUAGUACGAGAGGACCGGGAUGGACAUACCUCUGGUGUACCAGUUGUCGU
rnacentral:rRNA from 1 species